UAAACCAUGCACCGAAGCUGCGGCAGCGACACUAUGUGUUGUUGGGUAGGGGAGCGUUCUGUAAGCCUGCGAAGGUGACCUGUGAGGGUUGCUGGAGGUAUCAGAAGUGCGAAUGCUGACAUAAGUAACGAUAAAGCGGGUGAAAAGCCCGCUCGCCGGAAGACCAAGGGUUCCUGUCCAACGUUAAUCGGGGCAGGGUGAGUCGACCCCUAAGGCGAGGCCGAAAGGCGUAGUCGAUGGGAAACAGGUUAAUAUUCCUGUACUUGGUGUUACUGCGAAGGGGGGACGGAGAAGGCUAUGUUAGCCGGGCGACGGUUGUCCCGGUUUAAGCAUGUAGGCUGAUUGUCCAGGCAAAUCCGGAUAAUCAAGGCUGAGGUGUGAUGACGAGGCACUACGGUGCUGAAGUAACAAAUGCCCUGCUU
rnacentral:rRNA from 1 species